CCCUUUGCCCAGGAUAGCUUCACCAUC
rnacentral:piRNA from 1 species